rnacentral:rRNA from 1 species
UGGGGAAUAUUGGACAAUGGGCGGAAGCCUGAUCCAGCAACGCCGCGUGAGGGAUGACGGCCUUCGGGUUGUAAACCUCUUUCGCCUAGGACGAAGCUGCUCAUUUUUGUGGGUGGUGACGGUACUGGGAUAAGAAGGACCGGCCAACUACGUGCCAGCAGCCGCGGUAAUACGUAGGGUCCGAGCGUUGUCCGGAAUUAUUGGGCGUAAAGGGCUCGUAGGCGGUUUGUCGCGUCGGGAGUGAAAACGUACAGCUUAACUGUGCGCUUGCUUUCGAUACGGGCAGACUGGAGGUAUGCAGGGGAGAACGGAAUUCCUGGUGUAGCGGUGAAAUGCGCAGAUAUCAGGAGGAACACCGGUGGCGAAGGCGGUUCUCUGGGCAUUACCUGACGCUGAGGAGCGAAAGUGUGGGGAGCGAACAG